GCCUAUGGCCAUGCCACCCUGAACGUGCCCAAUCUCAUAUGAUCUCGGAAGCUAAGCAGGGUCGGGCCUGGUUAGUACUUGGAUGAGAGACCACCUAGGAAAACCAGGUGCUGUAGGUG
rnacentral:rRNA from 1 species